AAAAACAUGCCAUAUUAUGACAUAAUGUAAAGGAGGCCGUGAAAAACACUCCAGAAAGGUUUUCUUUGAAAAACAAAUCAUCAUGAAUUUUGGCGCAAAAAAAACGCCAUAGUAUACUAUGCCGAAAAAAAAAAUGCGAUUUUUCAACAUGUUGUAAAAACGUGCCGUAUGAUGAAAUAAUGUAAAGUAGGCCAUGAAAAACACUCCAGAAAGGUUUUCUUUGAAAAAAAAAUCAUCAUGAAUUUUGGCGCAAAAAAACGCCAUAGUAUACUAUGUCGAAAAAAAAAUGCGAUUUUUCAACAUGUUGUAAAUACGUGCCAUAUGAUGAAAUAAUGUAAAAGAGGCCGUGAAAAACACUAUGGUAAGGUUCUCGUUGAAAAAAAAAUUUAUGAAUUUUGGUGCAAAUAAACGCCAUAGUAUAUACUAUGUCGAAAAAAAAUGCCAUAUUUCAACAUGUUGUAAAAACGUGCCAUAUGAUGAAAUAAUGUAAAGUAGGCCGUGAAAAACACUCCAGAAAGGUUUUCUUUGAAAAAAAAAAUCAUCAUGAAUUUUGGC
ensembl:lncRNA